rnacentral:rRNA from 1 species
GUGUCAGCAGCCGCGGUAAUACGGAGGGUGCGAGCGUUGUCCGGAAUCAUUGGGUGUAAAGGGUGCGUAGGCGGGCUGCUAAGUCUGGGGUGAAAUCCUGCCGCUUAACGGUAGAAUGGCCCCCGAUACUGGCAGUCUUGAGUACAGAAGAGGUCGGUGGAAUUCGUAGUGUAGCGGUGAAAUGCAUAGAUAUUACGAAGAACACCAGUGGCGAAGGCGGCCGGCUGGUCUGUAACUGACGCUGAGGCACGAAAGCGUGGGGAGCGAACAGGAUUAGAUACCCUGGUAGUCCACGCUGUAAACGAUGUAUGCUAGGUGUCGGCCCUUCGGGGUCGGUGCUGCAGUUAACGCAGUAAGCAUACCACCUGGGGAGUACGUCGGCAACGAUGAAACUCAAAUGAAUUGACGGGG